CUCUCUCUCUCGAUUAUAUCGAAAAUUAAAAGAAGUCAUCGCAAUGGCGCGACCCAACUCAACCAACCACACUUUGGCUCACUCGAUUCCCCUCGCGCGCGACUCCUCUUCCUCCGUCCCGGCGCCGGCCACCGCCUCCUCGCCGGCCGACCCAGCUCCUCCGCCGCUCCCCCGGCCAUCCCCCACCCACCCAAUCCCCUCCGCCUCCUACAAACCCUAGACGGCGAUCCUAAAAUCUUCGAUCCCCUUCCCAUUCCGCCGGCAGGCCUCGCCCCGCCCACCAGCCGCUCCUCCCUCUACACCUAAUGGGUCCUCGCUUCUGGACGCCGUGGCCGUACUGGUGGAGCCGUCCAGCGGCGUCGCCGGCGCCGUGAUGUUGACCACUGCAGGUGCUGAUGCAGCCUGAGGAGAAUCAGACUUUGCCGCCCUCCUGCUGCACGAGUCGUCUCUGACCCGCUGCUGCCGUCCACGACUAGGACAUGCUGCUGCACUCCACAUCCCCAACGAGCUGCUUGCUGCCCGUGAGGCUGACGGGCGUGAGGCCAGGGUACCGGCCUUGGGUGGUGUUCCCAUGUUGGUGGUGCCCUCCGGUGGUGUUCCAGUUGUGUUGAUGGUGCCCUCCGGUGGUGAUGUCCACCGGAGCUCCUGAUGUUGCUCUCCUUGAACGGCAACGACGAUGCCGGAAACGAGCUGCUGCUGAUUGACACCCCUGCCACGACAAGGAGGAUUGAGCGUAUCAAUAUGAAGUCAAGUCUGUGUCUUGCUGGUCUUGUGUGAAUGUGUGGUUGAAAGCAUAUCGGAGGAGGAGCUGAAGGCCGCGAAGCAGGGGUACCAGGAGGCCGUGUCGAAGGGGAACGGGAAGUAGGAAGCACUGUGGCGAACGCCAUCGGAGACAUCCACAGGUGCAUGCGGUGAGCCGCUCAGGUGGCUGCGAAUCGACUACACGGUCUCCGUU